AUUGAACGCUGGCGGCAGGCCUAACACAUGCAAGUCGAACGAGUGGCGGACGGGUGAGUAAUGUCUGGGAAACUGCCUGAUGGAGGGGGAUAACUACUGGAAACGGUAGCUAAUACCGCAUACCAUCGGAUGUGCCCAGAUGGGAUUAGCUAGUAGGUGGGGUAAAGGCUCACCUAGGCGACGAUCCCUAGCUGGUCUGAGAGGAUGACCAGACACACUGGAGCUGAGGCACGGUGCAGACUCCUACGGGAGUCAUCAGUGGGGAAUAUUGCACAAGGGGAGCAGGCCUGAUGCAGCCAUGCCGCGUUGAUGAAGAAGGACUUCUGGUUGUAAGGUACGUUCAGCUGGGAGGCGUUACCCGCAGAAGAAGCACCGGCGAACUCCGUGCCAGCAGCCGCGGUAAUAC
rnacentral:rRNA from 1 species